rnacentral:lncRNA from 1 species
AAAAGCUGCACCCUGGGCAGUAUAGGGGCUCCCGCCUGUCAUCGCAGCCCUGUGGGAGGCUGAGGCAGGCCGAUCACUUGAGCUCACGAGUUCAAGACCAGCUGGGUAACUUGGAGAAACCCCGUCUCUACUAAAAUACAAAAUUAGUUGGGUGUGGUGGUGCGCACCUGUAGUCCCAGCUACUUGGGAGGCUGAGGUGGGAGGAUGGCUUGAGCCCAGGAGACAGGCUGCAGUGAACUGCAAUCUCGCCUCUUCACUCCAGCCUGGGGAACAGAGCGAGACUGUCUCAAAAAAAAAAAAAAAAAAAAAAAAGGUUAUGGGCCUCGUGCCUUCUGCCCUUUCAUGGGACUGAGCCCUGGAAGUCCUGUGUGGCUGGUGACCCCAGGGGACAGGACCUGGCCCCUCUCUUCUAACCCAGCUGUGCCGGGGCUCACCUGGGGGCCUCCAGCAUGCAUGCGGGAGAUGCUGGGCCCUGGGGGUGUCUUUGAGAAAGGGGUGGAGGAGUGUGGAGCCCCUGGGGCUCCCUUGCAGGCCGUGAGAAACCUCCCCAGUGCCACUUAUGUCCUGGACUAGGGAGGUGGUGGGGAGAGGGAGAGGAGUGGCAGACAUGGAGGCAGUGACCACACGGGCAGGGGCAGGUAUGGGGAGGACCUGGCAGGCCCCAGUCCAGUGCUCGGGCAGGCUGGGCAGGGGUGCCCUUUGGAGGCUGGUCCUUCAGGGACCCCCUCCUGCCUCCUUCCUGGGGGGCGGGCUGGGAAGGUGGGGGCUAGGUGGGCCCGGCGCCGCGGUGCUGAUGCUCUCUGUCCCCACAGGAAAGAAUCUCUAUACAAAUGAAUACGUGGCUAUCAAAUUGGAGCCGAUCAAGUCCCGGGCCCCGCAGCUGCACCUGGAGUACCGGUUCUACAAGCAGCUCAGCGCCACAGGUACCGGGCAGCCCGCGGGUGGG